rnacentral:rRNA from 1 species
GACGAACGCUGGCGGCGUGCCUAAUACAUGCAAGUAGAACGCUGAAGGAGGAGCUUGCUUCUCCGGAUGAGUUGCGAACGGGUGAGUAACGCGUAGGUAACCUGCCUGGUAGCGGGGGAUAACUAUUGGAAACGAUAGCUAAUACCGCAUAAGAGUAGAUGUCGCAUGACAUUUGCUUAAAAGGUGCAACUGCACCACUACCAGAUGGACCUGCGUUGUAUUAGCUAGUUGGUGAGGUAACGGCUCACCAAGGCAACGAUACAUAGCCGACCUGAGAGGGUGGUCGGCCACACUGGGACUGAGACACGGCCCAGACUCCUACGGGAGGCAGCAGUAGGGAAUCUUCGGCAAUGGACGGAAGUCUGACCGAGCAACGCCGCGUGAGUGAAGAAGGGUUUCGGAUCGUAAAGCUCUGUUGUAAGAGAAGAACGAGUGUGAGAGUGGAAAGUUCACACUGUGACGGUAUCUUACCAGAAAGGGACGGCUAACUACGUG